AGCUUUGCCCAGUGGCCGUCUUACAGCUAAUAAGGCUUAUCUGAGGCAAGAGAAAUGCUAAUUGAAAACUUUCCCCAAAGUGACUCCGUUGUGAUGUCUUGCAAUAUAGUUAGCAUGAGGAAUUUUUGUUAGUCACUACAGAGC